GAUGAACGCUGGCGGCGUGCCUAAUACAUGCAAGUCGAGCGAACAGACGAGGAGCUUGCUCCUCUGACGUUAGCGGCGGACGGGUGAGUAACACGUGGAUAACCUACCUAUAAGACUGGGAUAACUUCGGGAAACCGGAGCUAAUACCGGAUAAUAUAUUGAACCGCAUGGUUCAAUAGUGAAAGACGGUUUUGCUGUCACUUAUAGAUGGAUCCGCACCGCAUUAGCUAGUUGGUAAGGUAACGGCUUACCAAGGCAACGAUGCGUAGCCGACCUGAGAGGGUGAUCGGCCACACUGGAACUGAGACACAGUCCAGACUCCUACGGGAGGCAGCAGUAGGGAAUCUUCCGCAAUGGGCGAAAGCCUGACGGAGCAACGCCGCGUGAGUGAUGAAGGUCUUCGGAUCGUAAAACUCUGUUAUUAGGGAAGAACAAAUGUGUAAGUAACUAUGCACGUCUUGACGGUACCUAAUCAGAAAGCCACGGCUAACUACGUG
rnacentral:rRNA from 1 species